GUCAGUGUGGCCGAGUGGUCUAAGGCGUGCGACUUGAAUGUUGAUAUUCGAAAGGUAUCGCAUCCCUUCGGGGUCACAGGUUCGAACCCUGUCGCUGACG
rnacentral:tRNA from 1 species